AACGAACGCUGGCGGCAGGCUUAACACAUGCAAGUCGAACGGGCGUAGCAAUACGUCAGUGGCAGACGGGUGAGUAACACGUGGGAACCUUCCUAGGGGUACGGAACAACCCAGGGAAACUUGAGCUAAUACCGUAUACGUCCGUGAGGAGAAAGAUUUAUCGCCCUUAGACGGGCCCGCGUCGGAUUAGCUAGUUGGUGGGGUAACGGCCUACCAAGGCGACGAUCCGUAGCUGAUCUUAGAGGAUGAUCAGCCACACUGGGACUGAGGCACGGCCCAGACUCCUACGGGAGGCAGCAGUGGGGAAUCUUGGACAAUGGGCGCAAGCCUGAUCCAGCCAUGCCGCGUGAGUGAAGAAGGUCUUCGGAUUGUAAAGCUCUUUUGCCAGGGACGAUAAUGACGGUACCUGGAGAAUAAGCCCGGCAAACUUCGUG
rnacentral:rRNA from 1 species